CUCCCCGUGACCUGCUGCCACAGGUGACACCGUUCCAAUCCAGAACUGUCCAAAGCCCUCCCUGUUACCAGCACUGACGUGCACCCUUGAAGGGGUUGGGGCUUUUUUUUUAACCCCAGUUGCCAUAAGUUUCCACCAGGUCCACACAAGGACCCGUGUCUUGCUGCCCCCUG